rfam:Bombyx mori DNA, contig: Bm_scaf14_contig10909, strain: p50T/Dazao, build 2, whole genome shotgun sequence.
UUAACUCAAGUUUGUGUGGAGUUGGAACGUUCGCCCCGUUUGCCGCUAGGGGCGCUGUCCCAACUGCAUACAAAUUUAUAUUA